rnacentral:rRNA from 1 species
UACGUAGGGUGCGAGCGUUUAAUCGGAAUUACUGGGCGUAAAGUGUGCGCAGGCGGCACCGCAAGUCGAGUGUGAAAGCCCCGGGCUUAACUUGGGAAUUGCGCUCGAAACUAUGGUGCUGGAGUGUGGCAGAGGAAGGUGGAAUUCCAGGUGUAGCGGUGAAAUGCGUAGAGAUCUGGAGGAACACCGAUGGCGAAGGCAGCCUUCUGGGCCAACACUGACGCUCAUGCACGAAAGCGUGGGGAGCAAACAGG